CCCUUAGAUGUUCUGGGCCGCACACGCGCUACACUGAAGGAGGCAGCGUGUACUCCUGGAUCGAAAGAUUUGGGUAACCCGCGAAUCUCCUUCGUGCUAGGGAUUGAGGUUUGCAAUUAUCCUUCAUGAACGAGGAAUUCCCAGUAAGUGCAAGUCAUAAGCUUGCGCUGACUACGUCCCUGCCCUUUGUACACACCGCCCGUCGCUACUACCGAUUGAAUGAUUUAGUGAGGACUUCGGACUGGGACCGAUGCGGCUUUCGGGCUGCGUCGGUAUUCUGGAAAGAUGUCCAAACUGUAUCAUUGAGAGGAAGUAAAAGUCGUAACA
rnacentral:rRNA from 1 species